rnacentral:piRNA from 1 species
AAGGACUCUGGAGUUUACCAAGC